UCACCACUGCGCGGCGCCACUUCUCCUCCAAAGCCACCGCCGCGGCGCGCGGCCUCCUCCUCCGCCAAAUCUACCGCCGUAGCGUGCAGCCUCCUCCUCCGCCGCGGCGCGCCGCCACCUCGCUCCUCUCUCCCCAUCCACCGCGCUGCCGGAGUCGACCUCGUGCUCGCCCAGGUGGUGGUGAGUGGGUGGAGGAGGAGGAGGCGAGGGCGUCGGACUUGUGUGUGUGCAGGUCCAGGGGCAGGACGCGGUCGCCGACGAGGCAACCAUAAAAGGGCUAGCAGAUGUGCUGUAAAAAAAAUCAAGAACCUACAAGAACCAUAAAAGAGAUAAUUUGUUUUGUUUUUGGGACCUCGAUACACCUACAAGAACCUUAGUUACAUCUAAGUUAUGUAAUUAUUGCUAUGUACUUGAACUCUGUUAUGUAAUAUAGCUUUUUGAGUUGAUGGAUAACUGCUAUAUAUAGGAAUACUGCUACUUGAUGGAUGAACAAUAGUUACAUGAUGAUAUAUGUCAGAAUGCAUUUGUGAACAAUAGUUAUGAAUAGUUGAAUAUUGUGUUAUGCAUAUGUGUAACUUACUGAAAGGUGAUAAUCAUAUAUAUGCUGCAGAUUUAAUUUGAGGUAUGGUUCAUAAAAU
rnacentral:lncRNA from 1 species